CCUACGGGAGGCAGCAGUGGGGAAUCUUGCGCAAUGGGCGAAAGCCUGACGCAGCGACGCCGCGUGAGCGAAGAAGGCCUUCGGGUCGUAAAGCUCAGUCAUUGGGGAUGAGAUGACAGUACCCAAGGAGGAAGCCCCGGCUAACUACGUGCCAGCAGCCGCGGUAAU
rnacentral:rRNA from 1 species